AAAUCGGCGCUUUUCAGGGCCAUCAAAUGUCAUACAAAAUUUAAUU
rfam:Aedes aegypti strain Liverpool supercont1.809 genomic scaffold, whole genome shotgun sequence.